AUAAUACUUCAUAAGUCUAGGAUGCUGGAAUGCACUUAGGCUAAAAACUUCGGUGCCUUAGGAUGAGUCUGCGGACUAUCAGGUUGUAGUCAGGGUAAAGACCUGACUAGCCUACAACGGAUACGGGUUGUGAGAGCAAUAACCCGGAGAUGAUAUCUGAGACACGAUAUCAGGCCCUACGGGGCGCAGCAGGCGCGAAAACUUCGCACUGCGCGAAAGCGCGACGAGGGAAUCCCAAGUGUAUGCACGUAAGUGUAUACUGUUUCUCUGUCUAAAAAGCAGUGAGAGUAAGAGCUGGGUAAGACGGGUGCCAGCCGCCGCGGUAAUACCUGCAGCUCGAGUGGUGAUCGUUAUUAUUGGGCCUAAAACGUCCGUAGCCGGUCUUGUAAAUGCCUGGGUAAAUCGUAUGGCUUAAC
rnacentral:rRNA from 1 species